AUUAAACGCUGGCGGCAUGCCUUACACAUGCAAGUCGAACGGCAGCACGGGGGCAACCCUGGUGGCGAGUGGCGGACGGGUGAGUAAAGCAUCGGAACGUAUCCUGGAGUGGGGGGAUAACGUAGCGAAAGUUACGCUAAUACCGCAUAUUCCUGUGAGCAGGAAAGCAGGGGAUCGCAAGACCUUGCGCUCUGGGGAGCGGCCGAUGUCGGAUUAGCUAGUUGGUGGGGUAAAGGCCUACCAAGGCGACGAUCCGUAGCGGGUCUGAGAGGAUGAUCCGCCACACUGGGACUGAGACACGGCCCAGACUCCUACGGGAGGCAGCAGUGGGGAAUUUUGGACAAUGGGCGGAAGCCUGAUCCAGCCAUGCCGCGUGAGUGAAG
rnacentral:rRNA from 1 species